rnacentral:rRNA from 1 species
GAUGAACGCUGGCGGCGUGCCUAAUACAUGCAAGUCGAGCGAACAGAUGAGGAGCUUGCUCCUCUGACGUUAGCGGCGGACGGGUGAGUAACACGUGGAUAACCUACCUAUAAGACUGGGAUAACUUCGGGAAACCGGAGCUAAUACCGGAUAAUAUAUUGAACCGCAUGGUUCAAUAGUGAAAGACGGUUUUGCUGUCACUUAUAGAUGGAUCCGCGCCGCAUUAGCUAGUUGGUAAGGUAACGGCUUACCAAGGCGACGAUGCGUAGCCGACCUGAGAGGGUGAUCGGCCACACUGGAACUGAGACACGGUCCAGACUCCUACGGGAGGCAGCAGUAGGGAAUCUUCCGCAAUGGGCGAAAGCCUGACGGAGCAACGCCGCGUGAGUGAUGAAGGUCUGCGGAUCGUAAAACUCUGUUAUUAGGGAAGAACAAAUGUGUAAGUAACGAUGCACGUCUUGACGGUACCUAAUCAGAAAGCCACGGCUAACUACGU